rnacentral:rRNA from 1 species
GAGCGAAGCACUUAGGAAAGAUUCUUCGGAUGAUUUCCUAUUUGACUGAGCGGCGGACGGGUGAGUAACGCGUGGGUAACCUGCCUCAUACAGGGGGAUAACAGUUAGAAAUGACUGCUAAUACCGCAUAAGACCACAGCACCGCAUGGUGNACGGGUAAAAACUCCGGUGGUAUGAGAUGGACCCCCGUCUGA